rnacentral:lncRNA from 1 species
AUAGUCAGACUAAAGAUCACCAGAGAUCUUGAUGUGAAACACUUACGGGUGUUCACCAACUUGCAACUCAUCGCCUGAUAGUCUGAAGGAGAAUAUAUGGCCCGAGAUCCUAUUCUCUCUAAAUAUCUACAAAAGCUCAAGUCUCUACAAUCACACUUUAACUAUUUUGAGAUAUUCCAUAUCCCUUGUUGGUGCAAAAAUCCACCUGCGUCGGAGAAGCUAGAGUCGAGGGAGUCGCGGUCGCCGUCGGGACCUGCAAAGGAAGUCUAAAUCGGAGUUGGGGUUGCUCCGGCAAGACCCUCCGAUGCUCAAGUCAGUUCUCUGCCUCAACAAGAAUAGAGUGCUCGAACGAAAAUUUUAGCAGAGUUUCUAGGAUAGAAAUUAGAGCUUAGAGAAUAACGUAUCUGGGAUCCCCCCUUUUUAUAGGCGGAGGGGGCAACAGACCGAUAGCGAUGUUUGUAACCGUCUGGCAGUGGACCGUUCGGAGCCAGGAGGAGUUUGUUAUGAAAAGUAGUAGAGUAAAAUCAUGGCCAUCACCGUGACCUGACACGUGGAGUCUGAAGCGGCAUCCAUUGUCAUGACUUGCCAAAGGGUGGAGGAGCCGCACGGUAUCCAUCGCAGAAAGUGGAGCAGAGUUGUGGCCAUUACUGUGGCCUGCCAGGGAGUGAUGGAGCCGCACGAAAUCUGUCACAGGAAGUGGAGCAAAGUCGUGGCCGUUACUGUGGCCUGCCAGGGAGUGAUGGAGCCACGCAGAAUCCACCACAGGAAGUGGAGCAGAGUCGUGACCGUUACUGUGGCCUGUCAGGGGGUCCUGGCCUGUCGAUUGAAGUUUGGUUGGGGUGCCUGGCGG